rnacentral:rRNA from 1 species
GACGAACCCAAGCGAACGUUAUUCGGAAUUACUGGGCUUAAAGCGCGUGUAGGCGGAUUGCCACGUCGACUGUUGAAAUCCCCGCUACGGGACGAGCAUCGAUACGAGUAAUCUUGAGGUGGGUAGGGGAGGACUGGAACUUCCGGUGGAGCGGUGAAAUGCGUUGAGAUCGGAAGGAACGCCCGCGGCGAAAGCGAGUCUCUGGCCCCAUACUGACGCUGAGACGCGAAAGCCAGGGGAGCAAACGGGAUUAG